rnacentral:rRNA from 1 species
GUCCACGCCCUAAACGAUGAUUACUCGAUGUUGGCGAUACACCGUCCAGCGUCCUAGCGAAAGCGUUAAGUAAUCCACCUGGGGAGUACGGCCGCAAGGCUGAAACUCAAAGGAAUUGACGGGGGCCCCGCACAAGCGGAGGAGCAUGUGGUUUAAUUCGAUGGUACGCGAGGAACCUUACCUGGGCUUGAAAGUUAGUGACUGAUGCCGAAAGGUGUCAUCCCGCAAGGGCACGAAACUAGGUGCUGCAUGGCUGUCGU